UACGUAGGCAGCGAGCGUUGUUCGGAGUUACUGGGCGUAAAGAGCUCGUAGGCGGCUUGUCACGUCGGGUGUGAAAGCCCGGGGCUUAACCCCGGGUCUGCAUUCGAUACGGGGCUAGCUAGAGUGUGGUAGGGGAGAUCGGAAUUCCUGGUGUAGCGGUGAAAUGCGCAGAUAUCAGGAGGAACACCGGUGGCGAAGGCGGAUCUCUGGGCAUUACCUGACGCUGAGGAGCGAAAGUGUGGGGAGCGAACAGG
rnacentral:rRNA from 1 species